rnacentral:rRNA from 2 species
AUCCUGGGCUCAGGACGAACGCUGGCGGCGUGCCCUAAUACAUGCAAGUCGAGCGGACAGAUGGGAGCUUGCUCCCUGAAGUCAGCGGCGGACGGGUGAGUAACACGUGGGCAACCUGCCUGUAAGACUGGGAUAACUCCGGGAAACCGGGGCUAAUACCGGAUAAUUCUUUCCCUCACAUGAGGGAAAGCUGAAAGAUGGUUUCGGCUAUCACUUACAGAUGGGCCCGCGGCGCAUUAGCUAGUUGGUGAGGUAACGGCUCACCAAGGCAACGAUGCGUAGCCGACCUGAGAGGGUGAUCGGCCACACUGGGACUGAGACACGGCCCAGACUCCUACGGGAGGCAGCAGUAGGGAAUCUUCCGCAAUGGACGAAAGUCUGACGGAGCAACGCCGCGUGAGUGAUGAAGGUUUUCGGAUCGUAAAACUCUGUUGUUAGGGAAGAACAAGUACCGGAGUAACUGCCGGUACCUUGACG